AAUCAACGCUGGCGGCGUGGAUAAGACAUGCAAGUCGAACGGGAUCACGUUUGUAGCAAUACAGAUGUGGUCCAGUGGCAAACGGGUGCGUAACACGUGAGCAAUCUGCCGGGAAGUGGGGGAUAGCUCGCCGAAAGGCGAAUUAAUACCGCAUAUGGCCAGGGAGGACAUCCUCCCGACGCCAAAGUCGCAAGACGCUUCCUGAUGAGCUCGCGGCCUAUCAGCUUGUUGGUGAGGUAACGGCUCACCAAGGCUCUGACGGGUAGCUGGUCUGAGAGGACGACCAGCCACACUGGAACUGAGACACGGUCCAGACACCUACGGGUGGCAGCAGUCGAGAAUUUUUCACAAUGGGGGAAACCCUGAUGGAGCGACGCCGCGUGGAGGAUGAAGGUCUUCGGAUUGUAAACUCCUGUCAUGCGGGAACAAGAAAGUGAUAGUACCGCAAGAGGAAGAGACGGCUAACUCUGUGCCAGCCGCCGCAGUAACAC
rnacentral:rRNA from 1 species